rnacentral:piRNA from 1 species
GCAACGCGGUGUUUGUAACUUGAGGAUG